rnacentral:piRNA from 1 species
UAACCUGAGAUAAUAGUUAGACAAGCUACUU